CUACGCACUCCUACGGGAGGCAGCAGUGGGAAUAUUGCACAAUGAGCGCAAGCCUGAUGCAGCCAUGCCGCGUGUAUGAAGAAGGCCUUCGGGUUGUAAAGUACUUUCAGCAGUGAGGAAGGUGGGUAUGUUAAUAGCAUACUCAUUUGACGUUAGCUGCAGAAGAAGCACCGGCUAACUCCGUGCCAGCAGCCGCGGUAAUACGGAGGGUGCGAGCGUUAAUCGGAAUUACUGGGCGUAAAGCGCAUGCAGGUGGUUUGUUAAGUCAGAUGUGAAAGCCCGGGGCUCAACCUCGGAAUUGCAUUUGAAACUGGCAAACUAGAGUACUGUAGAGGGGGUAGAAUUUCAGGUGUAGCGGUGAAAUGCGUAGAGAUCUGAAGGAAUACCGGUGGCGAAGGCGGCCCCCUGGACAGAUACUGACACUCAGAUGCGAAAGCGUGGGGAGCAAACAGGAUUAGAUACCCUGGUAG
rnacentral:rRNA from 1 species